GUGUAAGUUUUGGUCAGGUUUUCUAUGAGUGUUCACAAGCCUGUGCAUUCUCUCUGGGUAUUGCAGAGCUGUGAGGUGUUUCGGGAAGAAGAGAUGGUAGGGCAGAAGUUUGUCCCUGGAACAGAGGAAAAGCUAUUUACAAAGGCACGUCAGGGGCGGUUGCUUUGUGGCUGUGUACAGCCUUAGAUGAGCAGGGGCCUGAGCCGAGUCCUGGGGUUUUGAGGCACGAGAAAGCCGUGUGAGCUGCCUGGGAUUUUUGUUAUGGGAGGAAAUGCUGUGUGGCUCUGGCUCUGCAUACGACAGACCAACCUUUGGCUCAGGGACCAGGCUGUCUGUCCAACCAAAUGUUGUUCCAUCUCCUUCGGUCUACAGGCUGACCACUAAAGAUGAUGAGGAUUUGGAAAUGUGCCUUAUCACAGAUUACGCCCCUGAAAACCUUAAUGUUAAAUCAAACUCAGCUAAUAGUAGGACUGAAGCUGUUGUGGAGGUGGCAACAUCCGAGAAUAAACAGGAAGCAAGCUACCUGACAACCUACUGGGCCAAGAAGGAUAAGAUGGAGUGCGAUGCAGAGCACGAGAGAUUUGGAAAAUUAGAAGGAAAGGAUCCUGAAAGUGGUGCCUCCACUGUCUGUGUUACAGGGAUGUCACCACACUUCAGGACAGAUGAAAACCUGAACAUGCUGUCUUUCACACAGCUGGGCCUGAAAAUAAUUUUAAUGAAAGCAGUAAUUUUUAAUGUGGUGAUGACAAUCCUUAUGUGGAAGAAAAAAGAAUGAAAGUAACCGGUGAAGACCUAAGUACCAAAAAAAUCUGCUGAGAAUCUUUACAGGAGCAUCGGGUGCAAGAGGGAACACAGGCCAGGCGUUCCUGUUGCAACAGAUAUCACAUCGUGUUUUCUGUACAUCAAACCAGUCAUUAUAGUCUAAAUUGCUUUAUUUGCAUUUUUAAAAAGCUACUCAGAGAUAUGCUUACAGUUCUCGGCAUUGUGCUCUCCCACAGAUCUGAUUCAUUUAGCAUGACAAUGACUUUUUUUAUUUUUUUUGUUUUUGGCUGAAGAACAGAUUGCUUCUCAGAGUAUUCAUUUGCAACUGAAAUGGCAAAGAGAGUCUUAAUCAGGGUGCUAUGCACCAUGUCUUUCUGUCUUUUGCUGUCUGAGCAAGGUGUAUUCCUCCCUCUACCCUCACCCCAUCCCCCCCAAAAAAGAAAAAAAAAAGCUGCUAGAUCUCCCAGAAGUCCUUAAGUUAGUGAAAUUCUUGCUUCUCUAUCACAGAAGAAUGCUUUUUGCCAUUUUUCAAAGUCUACCUGUCAUUUCUUUAGGCUUUUGGCUGCUAUUAAAUAAUCAUUACCAAUAAUAA